rnacentral:RNase_P_RNA from 1 species
GAGAUUGCCAAGCGGAUCGAAGAGGGCAAGAAAGAUAUCGCCACGGUCGUCUACGGCCUCCCGAUGACUCUGGAGUUCGUCCUCAAUCUGCCAGGCGGAGCGAUCCGACACCAGCACCACAGAGAACAAACCGCCGAUGGCCAGUGCGGGAGACUUCGGUCGAGUGCGCCGGCUCAGGUAAGGGUGAAACGGUGGGGUAAGAGCCCACCGCGGUGAUGGCGACAUCAACGGCACGGUAAGCGUCGUCCGGAGCAAGACCAAAUAGGGGGACGCCUGUGGGCUCGCGAGAGCUCGGCAGAAAGGCCGGCCCGGCCGAAGUUCCCGGGUAGGUUGCUUGAGGCUCGAGGUAACUCGAGUCCCAGAGAAAUGAUCACCCCCGUGUGAGCGCAAGCUUCACGCGGGACAGAAUCCGGCUUAUAGGGUUUCUCCAAC